GCGAGCGUUGUCCGGAAUCACUGGGCGUAAAGGGCGCGUAGGCGGCUUGAUAAGCGUGCGGUGAAAGCCCGGGGCUCAACCCCGGGUCGGCCGUGCGAACUGUCGAGCUGGAGCACUGUAGAGGCAGGUGGAAUUCCGGGUGUAGCGGUGGAAUGCGUAGAGAUCCGGAAGAACACCGGUGGCGAAGGCGGCCUGCUGGGCAGUGGCUGACGCUGAGGCGCGACAGCGUGGGGAGCAAACAGG
rnacentral:rRNA from 1 species